CGGCGUGCUUAACACAUGCAGUACGAACGGUGACGGAGAGCUUGCUCUCCUGAUCAGUGGCGAACGGGUGAGUAACACGUGGGCAACCUGCCCCAGACUUCGGGAUAACGCUUCGAAAGAGGUGCUAAUACCGGAUACGAGCCCCUUGGGCAUCCUUGGAGUUGGAAAGUUUUUCGGUCUGGGAUGGGCCCGCGGCCUAUCAGCUAGUUGGUGAGGUAACGGCUCACCAAGGCGACGACGGGUAGCCGGCCUGAGAGGGCGACCGGCCACACUGGGACUGAGACACGGCCCAGACUCCUACGGGAGGCAGCAGUGGGGAAUAUUGCGCAAUGGGCGAAAGCCUGACGCAGCAACGCCGCGUGAGGGAUGACGGCCUUCGGGUUGUAAACCUCUUUCAGCAGGGAAGAAGCGAAAGUGACGGUACCUGCAGAAGAAGCACCGGCUAACUACGUG
rnacentral:rRNA from 1 species